rnacentral:lncRNA from 1 species
UGAGGUUCUAACAAGCUACCUCUGACUCGCACUCUACAUCACUAACCUCCCUAACCUAGUCGAUGUCAUCAAACAGAGGUAAUUGAAGUGAUGCCUUCAACUCGAUCAAGACUCUAUGUUGAGGCAAACCCUCCAUGGUCAAGAUGAGGUGCUACGAUCUACUGCAGCUUAUUUCUUGAAGUUAUUAGCCUUUCAACUCCCAAAGGUAUCUUCUUAUCUUUGACUCUUCCAAGAGAUCUUUCGUAGAAAAUAUUAUGAGAUAUGAUUGAUGUAAUAUUUAUGUUGAACUUGCCUCUUAACCAACUUGCCAGUCUAGUUUUCAGAUGUCAGACCUAGACUAUAGGCAGUCACUUUUAAAAAUCAUUAAAUGCUCUUUGAAACUAGGAUUGUAGAAGUGACAUCUAGGAUUGACUCGUCACAUGUUAAGAUGAGAACAAAAGUUUUCAUCUAACAAAUGUAAAAUCUCAUAUUUAGUAUCAUUUGAAGGUAAUGGAACUUUAUACUCUCGAUAGUAAUCUUGCUUAUUUUUCUUGCUUCCUCUCUACAACUUUGUGCUCACACACAUUUGUGUGACUCCUGACUUCCAUUUAUUCCACACUCAAUAUUCUCCUCUACAAGUUGACUAACUUGAACUCAGAGCACCUGCGACCUUCUUUCCUAUCAUUUAAGAAGGCCAUAUGCUUCUAACAGUUUGUUCAAGUGUGUUGAAGCCGUAAUUAACUAUAUUUACAUAUUAUAUUUUUAUGUAAAAUCAUACACAUGUAAAAGAAUUCAAUUUUAAUAAUUCAAUUAUGAUUGCAUAAGUUAUAAAAUUAUCUCACGAUCUCUUAUCAUAACUCAUGUUACUUAUUGCACGAACUCAAUAAUAUUCUUAAAUUAUGUAAUUAGUGAUCAAGCAAUUGAAUGCCAAUUAAACACAUAAUAAGCAAUUAACUCAAAAUAAAAUUGGCAUGAAAUAUAUUAAUUUAAGCAAACAUUAACCUAAGCUUGGUAGUUCAUCCUAACAAUAAGAAAUUUAGUCAAUCAUAAUUUUGGAAUUAAAUGACAAAAGGAUGAAAAAUAUCAAUAGGUUCAAUAAAAUGGAUAAAGAAACUAAUAGAAGCAAUUUUUGUUCUUUGAACUGGUCACAAAUAGUCAUAUUAAGAUAGAUUUGGUUACAGUGGGUCGUAGAUAACACAUGCCGAUCACAAACAACAAUAGCUUACAUAGACAUAGACAUGAUCAGAAACAAUAAUAUCUUACACAUAUCUAGUCACAAAUAAUCACCUUUAAACAUAACUUGGUCACAUGCAACACAAAGCACACAAUCAAUAGGUCACAAUUGAGCUAAUAUUUUAUGAAGUACAGAAACCUUAUCAGAAAUUAUGAAUUGUGAAACACAAAAACUUGUUGAACAUAAGAAUGCAUCAAAUUAAAUGAUUUAUCAUCGAAUUUUUUUUUAAUGACCAGAUUAUAAGAACAUUGUUAGAGUUUUGAUAUGUGAAGAAUACUAUAGAAGACUUGAAGGUUGGGAGCAUCUAAAUUGUGAAUUAAAGGAUUAAAGUUCGUGAAUUGAAAAUUAGAAGUUCGCGAAUCAGAUUCAAUCAAGAAAUCAAUUAUUGAUUUAGUAUAACGGUAAAUUUAUGGUUUUGUUUUGUUUUGUUAUAAUCACCUUGGUGAAUGUCCCAUAGAAAUCCUAAUUUGUUAAUUAAAGAUUUAUUUUCUUUCGUGGCAAUUUGUGUUAGAAUUAUUCUUAAGACGUGUCGUUCAAUUUUAAAAGGUCAACUUUAUUAAGGAAAGUAACUCAAAUCCUUGUAUUAUAUUUUCAUUUGAUGUGGAAUUUGUCUCUUAACAUGCCCGCAAACCAAAUUCAUAUUGUGUUGGUGUUUUUGUUGAAAAGGGAGUUAAAGAAGUCAAA